rnacentral:rRNA from 1 species
UACGUAGGGGGCAAGCGUUGUCCGGAUUUAUUGGGCGUAAAGAGCUCGUAGGUGGUUCGGUAAGUCGGAUGUGAAAUCUCCAGGCUCAACCUGGAGAGGUCAUUCGAUACUGCCGUGACUAGAGGUCGGUAGGGGAGUGUGGAAUUCCUGGUGGAGCGGUGAAAUGCGCAGAUAUCAGGAGGAACACCCGUAGCGAAGGCGGCACUCUGGGCCGAUACUGACACUGAGGAGCGAAAGCGUGGGGAGCGAACAGG